GAUGAAGAACGUAGCGAAAUGCGAUACGUAAUGUGAAUUGCAGAAUUCAGUGAAUCAUCGAAUCUUUGAACGCAUAUUGCGCUCUCUGGUAUUCCGGAGAGCAUGCUUGUUUGAGUAUCAGUAAACACCUCAACUUCCAUAUCUUUUUUGAAAUGGGAGUUGGACUUGAGUGAUCCCAACGCUUUUCCUCACCGAAAAGUGGCGGGUUACUUGAAAUGCAGGUGCAGCUGGACUUAUCUCUGAGCUAUAAGCAUAUCUAUUUAGUCUGCCUAAAAACAGAUUAUUACCUUUGCUGCAGCUAACAUAAAGGAGAUUAGUUCGUGUGCUGACUGAUGCAGGAUUCACAAAGACAGGCUUCGGCCGACUUUGUAAACUCGAUCUCAAAUCAAGUAAGACUACCCGCUGAACUUAAGCAUAUCAAUAAGCGGAGGA
rnacentral:misc_RNA from 1 species